CUCCCACACAUGCAAACUCCACACAGUAAGGCCAGGCCGGACCCAGAACAGAGGACCUUCUUGUUGUGAGGCGACAGUGCUACCCCCUGCACCACCAUGCUGCCCUGGUCUGAGAAAUUGAUGGGAUAAAUUUACCGACGCGCAGUCGACGUGACAGUUUGGAAACGCAGAACUUCGUUGUUCACAGGGAUGAGAAGGAUCGAGCUGGACUGAAGAGUGCAACCCCACACAGCCGCAGAAGACAUCUGAUUGGACCAUUCCGCAAGCCUCAGCCCCACCUCUAUCCCUUCCACUAUUCUUUGGGGAUCGUGUACAACUUGUGGAAAAAGAGCCUCCUUCUAUGAAUAAUGGAAAAAAAAUCAUAUAUGCUGUAUAUAUAAUCCCACACAAGUAUUUUAUUUUAGAAGUUCAGGUUUCAAAUGUACAGUGCUAUGCAACUACUCUUUAGGCAAAAAUAGCAGGAAAUAUAAUGCACAGAAAACUGAUUUUGACUCAAAAACACACAGAUGUGAGGAAUUUAGUGUCUGUGCUGGUUUCGCUGGAGUUUGUGGGGUUGGGAAAUAUCCAUGGCUUAUGGCUUAGCUGCUCCUCUGAUCUGGCUUUGCUGUUACUAAUGUGAAAACCUGCCUGCGAGGACUGAUGGUGUACUUUUUAAAAUUAAAAUAUUUUUUCCUGCA